CCUACGGGAGGCAGCAGUAAGGAAUAUUGGUCAAUGGACGGAAGUCUGAACCAGCCAUGCCGCGUGCAGGACGACGGCCCUAUGGGUUGUAAACUGCUUUUGUCAGGGAAUAAAUCAUUUUACGAGUAGAAUGUUGAAGGUACCUGAAGAAUAAGGAUCGGCUAACUCCGUGCCAGCAGCCGCGGUAAU
rnacentral:rRNA from 1 species